rnacentral:lncRNA from 1 species
AUGCUGCCAAUGGCGGGGGGGGCAAAACCCGGGUCCAGAUCCCCCAUUUACCCCCCAUUUACCUCACAUUUCACUCCUUUUACCCCACAUUUCCCCCAUUUACCUCACAUUUCACUCCUUUUACCCCACAUUUCCCCCAUUUACCUCACAUUUCACUCCUUUUACCCCACAUUUCCCCCAUUUACCUCACAUUUCACUCCUUUUACCCCACAUUUCCCCCCAUUUACCUUACAUUCGCACCAUUUACCCCCCAUUCACCUCAUAUUUGCCCCAUUUACCUCACAUUUGCUCCUUUUACCCCCCCAUUUACCCCACAUUUUCCCCCAUUUACCCCCAUUCACCUCCUAUUUCCCCCAUUUACCCCCAUUUACCCCCAUUCACCUCCUAUUUCCCCCAUUUACCCUCACAUUUACCUCCCAUUUCCCCCUCAUCUCCCCCCAUUCCCCCCUCAUCCCCCCAAUAACCCCACUCCCCCUCACCCACCUCCCCCCCCACACCCACCUCCCCCCCCACACCCCCCAUUCUCCCCAUAGACCCACGCCACGCCGCCGAGGGACCCCGGGCGGGCGGGGGGGUGCCCGGUCCGUCUGUCCGCCGGCAGCUCCGUCUGUCCGUCCAUCCGCCCGCCCGUGCCGGCCUCAGGCCGCUCCCCGAGCCCGGCGGGAAGGCGGCCCCCAGGGGGACACGGCGGGGGGGGGGACGACACAAGGACAGGGACACAGCGCGGGGACACCACUCACCCGCGGCUGCGGCGCGCCAUGGCGGGGUCGGGCCGGGCCCGGCGCUUCUGGCUUUUACUUUUUUUUCCCCUUUUCCCCCUUUUUUUUUUUUUCCUAUCUCGCGCCAACGGCGGCCCCCCCCCGCGCGGGGCCGGGCCGCGCCUGCGCGCCGCCGCCUCACAAAGAGGCGCGCGCGGGAGGGCGCCCGCCCGCUUCAACGCCCCCCCCCCCCCACGCGUGUCCGCGCCCCCGGGCGGGCACAGACCGAACGGCACCCGCUGGGGGGGGGGGGAAGGGGGGCGUUAAUUAA